rnacentral:rRNA from 1 species
CCUACGGGGGGCAGCAGUGGGGAAUAUUGGACAAUGGGGGCAACCCUGAUCCAGCCAUGCCGCGUGUGUGAAGAAGGCCCUCGGGUUGUAAAGCACUUUCAGUGAGGAAGAACGCCUGGUGGUUAAUACCCAUCAGGAAAGACAUCACUCACAGAAGAAGCACCGGCUAACUCCGUGCCAGCAGCCGCGGUAAUACGGAGGGUGCGAGCGUUAAUCGGAAUUACUGGGCGUAAAGCGCGCGUAGGUGGCUUGAUAAGCCGGUUGUGAAAGCCCCGGGCUCAACCUGGGAACGGCAUCCGGAACUGUCAAGCUAGAGUGCAGGAGAGGAAGGUAGAAUUCCCGGUGUAGCGGUGAAAUGCGUAGAGAUCGGGAGGAAUACCAGUGGCGAAGGCGGCCUUCUGGACUGACACUGACACUGAGGUGCGAAAGCGUGGGUAGCAAACAGGAUUAGAUACCCUAGAGUA